rnacentral:tRNA from 1 species
ACCUGGAUAUCUCAGCUGGCAGAGCAUCAGACUUUUACUCUGAGGGUCCAGGGUUCAAGUCCCUGUUCAGGCG